AUUGAACGCUGGCGGCAUGCCUUACACAUGCAAGUCGAACGGCAGCACGGGGCAACCUGGUGGCGAGUGGCGAACGGGUGAGUAAUGCAUCGGAACGUACCUUUCAGUGGGGGAUAACGUAGCGAAAGUUACGCUAAUACCGCAUAUUCUGUGAGCAGGAAAGCAGGGGAUCGCAAGACCUUGCGCUGAUUGAGCGGCCGAUGUCAGAUUAGCUAGUUGGUGAGGUAAAGGCUCACCAAGGCGACGAUCUGUAGCGGGUCUGAGAGGAUGAUCAGCCACACUGGAACUGUGACACGGUCCAGACUCCUACGGGAGGCAGCAGGGGGGAAUUUUGGACAAUGGGGGCAACCCUGAUCCAGCCAUGCCGCGUGAGUGGAGAAGGCCUUCGGGUUGAAAAGCUCUUUCGGCCGGGAAGAAAUCGCACGGGCUAAUACCCUGUGUGGAUGACGGUACCGGAAUAAGAAGCACCGGCUAACUACGUGCCAGCCGCCGCAGUAAGAC
rnacentral:rRNA from 1 species